GAAAAAGCUCCUCGCUUACACCGAGAAGAUGCCUCUUAAAAAGGGCCAUUUUGA
rnacentral:tRNA from 1 species